rnacentral:tRNA from 1 species
GACUUAUUAGCUCAAUUGGUUAGAGCGUCAUACUAAUAAUGCAAAAGUCAUUGGUUCAACUCCUACUUGAGUCA